UACGGAGGGUGCGAGCGUUGUCCGGAAUCACUGGGCGUAAAGGGCGCGUAGGCGGCCUGAUAAGUAGGGGGUGAAAUCCUGCGGCUUAACCGCAGGGCUGCCUUCUAAACUGUCGGGCUCGAGCGCAGUAGAGGCAGGUGGAAUUCCCGGUGUAGCGGUGGAAUGCGUAGAGAUCGGGAAGAACAUCAGUGGCGAAGGCGGCCUGCUGGGCUGUUGCUGACGCUGAGGCGCGACAGCGUGGGGAGCAAACAGG
rnacentral:rRNA from 1 species